rnacentral:lncRNA from 1 species
ACUGGUUUUAAAUAAAGUCCUUGAUUAGGUUACAUACAAUUAUACCAUCUCAUAUAUCUGGACAUAGAAAAUGUUAUAAAAGCCUAAUGAAUAUAUCCCGG